rnacentral:rRNA from 1 species
CAAACUGGAGAUGGCGACCGGCGCACGGGUGAGUAACACGUAUCCAACCUGCCGAUAACUCGGGGAUAGCCUUUCGAAAGAAAGAUUAAUACCCGAUGGCAUAAUAGAACCGCAUGGUUUGAUUAUUAAAGAAAUUUCGGUUAUCGAUGGGGAUGCGUUCCAUUAGGCAGUUGGUGGGGUAACGGCCCACCAAACCUUCGAUGGAUAGGGGUUCUGAGAGGAAGGUCCCCCACAUUGGAACUGAGACACGGUCCAAACUCCUACGGGAGGCAGCAUG